UUGACUCUGCUGUAUGAACUUACUUAUGUCAAUAUGAUCUUCUGCUUUAGUGGCAGCUAUGAUUAUGGCAGUGAAAACAUUUGAUAACUACUGAAUUAAAAUUGGAUUUUUUUUUGUCGAUAAUAGAUACUUGUGGCAUACUUUGAAUUCUUUAGUUUGGACUAUUAGGAACUGGUGUAGUGCUAUGAAUGUAUGGCCUGCCCUUAUUGUUGAGACAAACAAUGCUUCUGAUCUCCAUGGAUAUACUGUCAGGGCUUUAUACAGGGCAUUCUAACAUCAUCUGAACAGGCUGAUAUGACCAUGUUAGAAGACGAACUACCAACAAAAAGAUGACUUUCAUCAGCCCUUGUCAAGGUAUAUUGAGAUGAUUUCUUUGGAGCAAUUCUUGACAACAUUUGUAGUUGAGGCCUUUAGAAUGGAAGAAUAUAUUUCACUAAUUUUUGUAUACAUUUCUUGUUUUGUAUUUAGUGAUAAAGGAAUCUGAAUUGGGCAUAAAUUAUGUUGUAAUAUGAUUUCUUAAGCCUCA